rnacentral:rRNA from 1 species
UACAGAGGUCUCAAGCGUUGCUCGGAUUCAUUGGGCGUAAAGGGUGCGUAGGCGGCGCGCUAAGUCGGGUGUGAAAUUUCGGAGCUUAACUCCGAAACUGCAUUCGAUACUGGCAUGCUUGAGGACUGGAGAGGAGACUGGAAUUCAUGGUGUAGCAGUGAAAUGCGUAGAGAUCAUGAGGAAGACCAGUGGCGAAGGCGGGUCUCUGGACAGUUCCUGACACUGAGGCACGAAGGCCAGGGGAGCAAACGGG